rnacentral:rRNA from 1 species
UACGUAGGGUGCGAGCGUUAAUCGGAAUUACUGGGCGUAAAGCGUGCGCAGGCGGUUUGCUAAGACCGAUGUGAAAUCCCCGGGCUCAACCUGGGAACUGCAUUGGUGACUGGCAGGCUAGAGUAUGGCAGAGGGGGGGUAGAAUUCCACGUGUAGCAGUGAAAUGCGUAGAGAUGUGGAGGAAUACCGAUGGCGAAGGCAGCCCCCCUGGGCCCAAUACUGACGCUCAUGCACGAAAGCGUGGG